rnacentral:rRNA from 1 species
CCUACGGGAGGCAGCAGUCGAGAAUCAUUCACAAUGGGGGAAACCCUGAUGGUGCGACGCCGCGUGGGGGAAUGAAGGUCUUCGGAUUGUAAACCCCUGUCAUGUGGGAGCAAAUUAAGAAGAUAGUACCACAAGAGGAAGAGACGGCUAAAUCUGUGCCAGCAGCCGAGGUAAUACAGAGGGCUCAAGCGUUGUUCGGAAUCACUGGGGGGAAAGCGUGCGUAGGCUGCUGCGUAAGGCGUGUGUGAAAGGCGCGGGCUCAACCCGCGUACGGCACAUGAUACUGCGAGACUAGAGUGAUGGAGGGGGAACCGGAAUUCUCGGUGUAGCAGUGAAAUGCGUAGAUA